AACGAACGCUGGCGGCGUGGAUAAGACAUGCAAGUCGAACGAUCACUAUUGAGUAGCAAUAUUUGGUAGUGGGAGUGGCGCAAGGGUGCGUAACACGUGGGUAAUUUGCCGUGAAGUCUGGAAUAACUUGCUGAAAGGCGAGCUAAUACCGGAUGUGAUUACUGGAAGGCAUCUUCUGGUACUUAAAGUCGGGGACCGUAAGGCCUGACACUUCUCGAUAAGCCCGCGGCCUAUCAGCUAGUUGGUGAGGUAACGGCUCACCAAGGCUAAGACGGGUAGCUGGUCUGAGAGGACGACCAGCCACACUGGAACUGAGACACGGUCCAGACACCUACGGGUGGCAGCAGUCGAGAAUUUUUCUCAAUGGGGGAAACCCUGAAGGAGCGACGCCGCGUGGGGGAUGAAUGGCUUCGGCCCGUAAACCCCUGUCAUUUGCGAUCAAACUUUACGGCCUAACACGUCGUAAGCUGAUAGUAGCGAAAGAGGAAGGGACGGCUAACUCUGUGCCAGCAGCCGCGGUAAUACAGAGGUCCCAAGCGUUGUUCGGAUUCACUGGGCGUAAAGGGUGCGUAGGCGGUCGGGUAAGUCUAACGUGAAAUCUCCGAGCCUAACUCGGAAACUGCGUCGGAUACUAUUCGGCUAGAGGAAUGGAGGGGAGACUGGAAUUCUCGGUGUAGCAGUGAAAUGCGUAGAUAUCGAGAGGAACACCAGUGGCGAAGGCGAGUCUCUGGACAUUUCCUGACGCUGAGGCACGAAAGCCAGGGGAGCAAACGGGAUUAGAUACCCCGGUAGUCCUGGCCCUAAACGGUGCACGUUUGCUGUAAGAGGAAUCGACCCCUUUUGUGGCGAAGCUAACGCGUUAAACGUGCCGCCUGGGAAGUACGGCCGCAAGGUUAAAAC
rnacentral:rRNA from 1 species